rnacentral:sRNA from 1 species
AGAGCUGGGAAGGAGGCUCUAGAUGGCGGCUGUGCCUUAGAGAGAGCGCGCUCUGCUCCCUGCCUUUGCCUCACUUUACGCAACUUUCCCUAACUUUCGGGCAGCCUCAGGGGGCCCCCGUAGCCCCCUGCCUUUCCUAGGGACUUACUGGGGUCGAUUCGAACCUUUUUUUGGGAGAAAAGCAGCUUUUAGGAGCUUUCUUUUCGUGCCUUGUUGGAAAGAAGCAGCCGUACUGAGAGCCCAGGUCGUUGUUUUUUCCAGCUUAGAAGCCAUGGCGCACCUCCAUUUUUGUGCGCUCUCCUAAUGAGGUUUUUUUUCUUUCGGACCUGUUUUAGUAUUAAUUAUUGCUUUAUUUUUUUGACCAGUUAACAUAUUUGAGGGUUAUUUUAUUUAUUUUUCGUUUUUUAACGGAGGAUUUUGCCUUUAUUUUUAAUUAUUUGGGAUCUGAUAUUUUUCUACUAGUAGAUAGGACUCUUGGUUUGGACAUACUACAUGGAUCAGUAAAUACCUGGGCACAGGACUUCAAAGCAAACACAGAUUCCCCCUCCCCCUUAAUAUUUAAGAAUUAAAAGAUGAUGAGAAAUAAGGACAAAAGCCAAGAGGAGGACAGUUCGCUACACAGCAAUGCAUCGAGUCACUCAGCCUCUGAAGAAGCUUCGGGUUCAGACUCAGGCAGUCAGUCGGAAAGUGAGCAGGGAAGUGAUCCGGGAAGUGGACAUGGCAGUGAGUCGAACAGCAGCUCUGAAUCUUCUGAGAGUCAGUCGGAAUCUGAGAGCGAAUCAGCAGGUUCCAAAUCCCAGCCAGUCCUCCCAGAAGCCAAAGAGAAGCCAGCCUCUAAGAAGGAACGGAUAGCUGAUGUGAAGAAGAUGUGGGAAGAAUAUCCUGAUGUUUAUGGGGUCAGGCGGUCAAACCGAAGCAGACAAGAACCAUCGCGAUUUAAUAUUAAGGAAGAGGCAAGUAGCGGGUCUGAGAGUGGGAGCCCAAAAAGAAGAGGCCAGAGGCAGCUGAAAAAACAAGAAAAAUGGAAACAGGAACCCUCAGAAGAUGAACAGGAACAAGGCACCAGUGCAGAGAGUGAGCCAGAACAAAAAAAAGUAAAAGCCAGAAGACCUGUCCCCAGAAGAACAGUGCCCAAACCUCGUGUUAAAAAGCAGCCGAAGACUCAGCGUGGAAAGAGAAAAAAGCAAGAUUCUUCUGAUGAGGAUGAUGAUGAUGACGAAGCUCCCAAAAGGCAGACUCGUCGAAGAGCGGCUAAAAAUGUUAGUUACAAAGAAGAUGAUGACUUUGAGACUGACUCAGAUGAUCUCAUUGAAAUGACUGGAGAAGGAGUUGAUGAACAGCAAGAUAAUAGUGAAACUAUUGAAAAGGUCUUAGAUUCAAGACUGGGAAAGAAAGGAGCCACUGGAGCAUCUACUACUGUAUAUGCGAUUGAAGCUAAUGGCGACCCUAGUGGUGACUUUGACACUGAAAAGGAUGAAGGUGAAAUCCAGUACCUCAUCAAGUGGAAGGGUUGGUCUUACAUCCACAGCACAUGGGAGAGUGAAGAAUCCUUACAGCAACAGAAAGUGAAGGGCCUAAAAAAACUAGAGAACUUCAAGAAAAAAGAGGACGAAAUCAAACAAUGGUUAGGGAAAGUUUCUCCUGAAGAUGUAGAAUAUUUCAAUUGCCAACAGGAGCUGGCUUCAGAGUUGAAUAAACAGUAUCAGAUAGUAGAAAGAGUAAUAGCUGUGAAGACAAGUAAAUCUACAUUGGGUCAAACAGAUUUUCCAGCUCAUAGUCGGAAGCCGGCACCCUCAAAUGAGCCCGAAUAUCUAUGUAAAUGGAUGGGACUUCCCUAUUCAGAGUGUAGCUGGGAAGAUGAAGCCCUCAUUGGAAAGAAAUUCCAGAAUUGCAUUGACAGCUUCCACAGUAGGAACAACUCAAAAACCAUCCCAACAAGAGAAUGCAAGGCCCUGAAGCAGAGACCACGAUUUGUAGCUUUAAAGAAACAACCUGCAUAUUUAGGAGGGGAGAAUCUGGAACUUCGAGAUUAUCAGCUAGAAGGUCUAAACUGGCUAGCUCAUUCCUGGUGCAAAAAUAAUAGUGUAAUCCUUGCUGAUGAAAUGGGCCUAGGAAAGACCAUCCAGACCAUAUCAUUCCUCUCCUACCUGUUCCACCAACACCAGCUGUAUGGCCCCUUUCUUAUAGUCGUCCCUUUAUCCACCCUCACCUCAUGGCAGAGAGAGUUUGAAAUCUGGGCACCAGAGAUUAACGUAGUGGUUUACAUAGGUGACCUGAUGAGCAGAAAUACGAUACGGGAAUAUGAAUGGAUUCAUUCCCAAACCAAAAGAUUGAAGUUCAACGCACUUAUAACAACAUAUGAGAUCCUCUUGAAAGAUAAGACUGUGCUGGGCAGUAUUAACUGGGCCUUUCUGGGAGUGGAUGAAGCCCAUCGGUUGAAGAAUGAUGACUCUUUAUUGUAUAAAACUCUGAUUGAUUUCAAGUCCAACCAUAGGCUCCUGAUUACGGGGACCCCUCUUCAGAAUUCCCUCAAAGAGCUCUGGUCCUUGCUGCACUUUAUUAUGCCGGAGAAGUUUGAAUUUUGGGAAGAUUUUGAAGAAGACCAUGGGAAAGGGAGAGAGAAUGGCUACCAGAGUCUUCAUAAGGUGCUAGAGCCUUUCCUUCUCCGGAGAGUCAAAAAAGAUGUGGAGAAAUCCCUUCCUGCUAAAGUGGAACAGAUUCUCAGGGUGGAGAUGUCAGCCCUUCAGAAACAGUAUUACAAGUGGAUUCUGACCAGGAAUUACAAGGCUCUUGCCAAAGGAACAAGAGGCAGCACAUCUGGUUUUCUUAAUAUUGUGAUGGAACUGAAAAAAUGUUGCAACCACUGCUAUCUGAUUAAACCCCCUGAAGAAAAUGAAAGGGAAAAUGGACAGGAGAUUCUUCUGUCCCUCAUAAGGAGCAGUGGGAAGUUGAUUUUAUUAGACAAACUGUUGACAAGACUUCGAGAAAGGGGGAAUCGAGUGCUUAUCUUCUCUCAGAUGGUGAGAAUGUUGGAUAUCCUGGCUGAAUACCUAACUAUUAAACACUAUCCUUUCCAGCGUCUGGAUGGUUCCAUCAAGGGAGAAAUCCGAAAACAGGCACUGGACCACUUCAAUGCAGAUGGGUCUGAGGACUUCUGUUUCCUGCUCUCGACAAGGGCUGGUGGCCUGGGAAUCAAUUUGGCUUCAGCGGACACAGUCGUCAUCUUUGACUCUGACUGGAACCCCCAGAAUGACUUGCAGGCACAAGCCCGAGCGCAUAGAAUUGGUCAGAAGAAGCAGGUAAAUAUUUACCGCUUAGUUACAAAGGGGACUGUGGAGGAGGAGAUCAUAGAACGGGCCAAAAAGAAGAUGGUAUUAGAUCAUCUGGUGAUUCAGCGCAUGGACACCACUGGCCGGACGAUCCUGGAAAACAACUCGGGAAGGUCCAACUCAAAUCCUUUUAAUAAAGAAGAGCUGACAGCUAUUUUGAAAUUUGGAGCAGAGGAUCUCUUCAAAGAACUGGAAGGGGAGGAAUCAGAACCUCAGGAAAUGGAUAUAGAUGAAAUUUUGCGGUUGGCUGAAACGAGAGAGAAUGAAGUGUCAACAAGUGCAACAGAUGAACUUCUAUCACAGUUUAAGGUUGCCAACUUUGCAACAAUGGAAGAUGAAGAAGAGCUGGAAGAGCGUCCUCACAAGGACUGGGAUGAGAUCAUUCCAGAGGAACAAAGGAAAAAAGUAGAGGAGGAAGAGCGGCAGAAGGAGCUAGAAGAAAUUUAUAUGCUGCCUCGAAUUCGGAGUUCCACUAAAAAGGCUCAGACAAAUGACAGUGACUCUGACACUGAGUCUAAGAGGCAGGCCCAGAGAUCCUCUGCUUCUGAGAGUGAAACGGAAGACUCUGAUGAUGACAAGAAGCCAAAGCGCAGAGGGCGUCCGAGGAGUGUGCGGAAGGACCUCGUGGAGGGAUUUACUGAUGCAGAGAUCCGAAGGUUCAUCAAGGCUUAUAAGAAGUUUGGUCUCCCUCUUGAACGGCUGGAGUGCAUAGCACGUGAUGCUGAGCUGGUAGAUAAGUCGGUGGCAGAUCUGAAGCGCCUGGGUGAACUGAUCCACAACAGCUGUGUGUCAGCAAUGCAGGAAUACGAAGAGCAGCUGAAAGAAAAUGCCAGCGAGGGUCUACUCACAAAUGAAGUUGAUUUGCAGAAGGUGUAGAGUGAAGAAAAAGAUGAAAUGGUUUCUUUUU